rnacentral:lncRNA from 1 species
CUUCUACAUGCAUGAUGUACAAAAUUAGAUGUCGAUCACUUCAUUCUUUCCAUCUGACAUCCCCAUCAUUUUUAUCUUAAAUAUAAUCAAAUAUUAAUUAUAACCAUUUUUAACAUAUAUCCUUACUUAAUAACCAUCGAUCAUGACUUGGGGUGAUUGAUUGACGUACCUCCACUGUCACUAAUAAUAUUGUUCUACAAUUGGUACUCGUACAAUCCCCUGUCAAAAUAUACAAUAAAAACACCAUAAAUCAUACUCCAAAAUAUUGUUUUUUAAGAAAUACUAGUUUACUAAACAUUAACAUUCAUAAAACACCAAAACAUACCUUCUAAUAUCAACA